rnacentral:rRNA from 1 species
AGAGUUUGAUCCUGGCUCAGGACGAACGCUGGCGGCGUGCCUAAUACAUGCAAGUCGAGCGAAUCUUUGGGAGCUUGCUCCCAUUGGUUAGCGGCGGACGGGUGAGUAACACGUGGGCAACCUGCCUGUAAGACUGGGAUAACACCGGGAAACCGGUGCUAAUACCGGAUAAUCCUUUCCUUCACAUGAGGGAAAGCUGAAAGUCGGUUUCGGCUGACACUUACAGAUGGGCCCGCGGCGCAUUAGCUAGUUGGUGAGGUAACGGCUCACCAAGGCGACGAUGCGUAGCCGACCUGAGAGGGUGAUCGGCCACACUGGGACUGAGACACGGCCCAGACUCCUACGGGAGGCAGCAGUAGGGAAUCUUCCGCAAUGGACGAAAGUCUGACGGAGCAACGCCGCGUGAGCGAUGAAGGCCUUCGGGUCGUAAAGCUCUGUUGUUAGGGAAGAACAAGUAUCGGAGUAACUGCCGGUACCUCGACGGUACCUAACCAGAAAGCCACGGCUAACUACGUGCCAGCAGCCGCGGUAAUACGUAGGUGGCAAGCGUUGUCCGGAAUUAUUGGGCGUAAAGCGCGCGCAGGCGGUCCUUUAAGUCUGAUGUGAAAGCCCACGGCUCAACCGUGGAGGGUCAUUGGAAACUGGGGGACUUGAGUGCAGAAGAGGAAAGCGGAAUUCCACGUGUAGCGGUGAAAUGCGUAGAGAUGUGGAGGAACACCAGUGGCGAAGGCGGCUUUCUGGUCUGUAACUGACGCUGGGGCGCGAAAGCGUGGGGAGCAAACAGGAUUAGAUACCCUGGUAGUCCACGCCGUAAACGAUGAGUGCUAAGUGUUAGAGGGUUUCCGCCCUUUAGUGCUGCAGCUAACGCAUUAAGCGCUCCGCCUGGGGAGUACGGCCGCAAGGCUGAAACUUAAAGGAAUUGACGG